rnacentral:rRNA from 1 species
CCGCGGUAAUUCCAGCUCUCAAAAUGCAUAGAAUUAUUGCUGCGGUUAAAAAGCUCGUAGUUGGAUCUGUGCUGGUGUGCCGGUCUCGCCUUCGGGCGUGUACUGGUCCACACACCGGCUUUCCUGCAGUUUUCGGCUGGCUCUCCCUCACGGGUCUGCCUGUUCGGUGCUGCAAGUUUACUUUGAACAAAUCAGAGUGCUUCAAACGGGCGUCUCGCUCGUAUGUUCUUGCAUGGAAUAAUAGAAGAGGAUUUCGGUUCUAUUUUAUUGGUUUUAUAGACUGAGAUAAUGGUUAACAGAGACAAACGGGGGCAUUCGUAUUGCUACGUGAGAGGUGAAAUUCUUGGACCGUAGCAAGACGAACUACAGCGAAAGCAUUUGCCAAGAAUG